rnacentral:piRNA from 1 species
UCAUGAUUCGCCUCCAAGUUU